rnacentral:rRNA from 1 species
AGAAUAAUACUCCAUAGAUCUUUGAGGCUGGAAUGCGCUUAGAUUUAAAGCUUCGGCGCCUAAGGAUGAGUCUGCGGACUAUCAGGUAGUAGUCAGGGUAAAGACCUGACUAGCCUACGACGGAUAUGGGUUGUGAGUGCAAUAACCCAGAGAUGAUAUCUGAGACACGAUAUCAGGCCCUACGGGGCGCAGCAGGCGCGAAAACUUCACAAUGCGCGAAAGCGCGAUGAGGGGAUCCCAAGUGCUUGCACGUAAGUGUAAGCUGUUUUUCUGUCUAAAAAGCAGAGAGAGUAAGAGCUGGGUAAGACGGGUGCCAGCCGCCGCGGUAAUACCUGCAGCUCAAGUGGUGGCCGCUAUUAUUGGGCCUAAAACGUCCGUAGCCGGCUGAGUAAAUGCCUGGGUAAAUCGUAUGGCUUAACCAUACGAACUCCGGGUAGACUGCUUAGCUUGGGACCGGAAGAAGUUAGAGGUACUCCUGGGGUAGGGGUGAAAUCCUGUAAUCCUGGGGGGACCACCAGUGGCGAAGGCGUCUAACUAGGACGGGUCUGACGGUGAGGGACGAAGCCCUGGGGCGCAAACCGGAUUAGAUACCCGGGUAGUCCAGGGUGUAAACGCUGCUUGCUUGAUGUUAGUUGGGCUCCGAGCUCGACUAGUGUCGGAGAGAAGUUGUUAAGCAAGCUGCCUGGGAAGUACGGUCGCAAGGCUGAAACUUAAAGGAAUUGGCG